GGGUCAGUAGGUUGGUCGUGCCACCGGUACGUACUGGUCUCACUGAUUCCUCCUUCCUGAAGAACCGUAAUGCCAUUAAUUUGGUGUUGCGGGGAAACAGGACUGUUACUUUGAAAAAAUUAGAGUGUUUAAAGCAAGCUAACGCUUGAAUACAUUAGCAUGGAAUAAUGAAAUAGGACGACCGAUCCUAUUUUGUUUGUUUCUAGGAUUGACGUA
rnacentral:rRNA from 1 species